CGGGACGAGCGGGGGAGUUUGACCGGAGUAGCCGACUUCGGCGGAGUGCUUUGGCCUUCCGCCGGGGCCGACGUCGACGGUCGACUGAGAGGCUGGAAGGCCGAAAGACCGGAAGGCGACCCUUGGAACCUGAUCCGGGUAAUGCCGGCGCAGGGAGCCUCGUCUCGUCAGGUC
rnacentral:ncRNA from 17 species